CCUACGGGUGGCUGCAGUGGGGAAUAUUGGACAAUGGGCGAAAGCCUGAUCCAGCCAUGCCGCGUGUGUGAAGAAGGCCUUCGGGUUGUAAAGCACUUUCAGUGGGGAAGAAAGCCUUGGGGCUAAUACCCUCGAGGAAGGACAUCACCCACAGAAGAAGCACCGGCUAACUCCGUGCCAGCAGCCGCGGUAAUACGGAGGGUGCGAGCGUUAAUCGGAAUUACUGGGCGUAAAGCGCGCGUAGGCGGUCUGAUAAGCCGGUUGUGAAAGCCCCGGGCUCAACCUGGGAACGGCAUCCGGAACUGGCAGGCUAGAGUGCAGGAGAGGAAGGUAGAAUUCCCGGUGUAGCGGUGAAAUGCGUAGAGAUUGGGAGGAAUACCAGUGGCGAAGGCGGCCUUCUGGACUGACACUGACGCUGAGGUGCGAAAGCGUGGGUAGCAAACAGGAUUAGAUACCCUGUAGUC
rnacentral:rRNA from 1 species